rnacentral:rRNA from 1 species
UGGGGAAUUUUGGACAAUGGGCGCAAGCCUGAUCCAGCCAUGCCGCGUGUGUGAAGAAGGCCUUCGGGUUGUAAAGCACUUUCAGACGGAACGAAAUCGCGCGGUUGAACAUUCCGCGUGGAUGACGGUACCGUAAGAAGAAGCACCGGCUAACUACGUGCCAGCAGCCGCGGUAAUACGUAGGGUGCGAGCGUUGUCCGGAAUCACUGGGCGUAAAGGGCGCGUAGGCGGCCCGGUAAGUAGGGGGUGAAAUCUCAUGGCUCAACUGUGAGGCUGCCUUCUAGACUGCCAGGCUUGAGCACAGUAGAGGCGAGUGGAAUUCCCGGUGUAGCGGUGGAAUGCGUAGAGAUCGGGAAGAACAUCGGUGGCGAAGGCGGCUCGCUGGGCUGUUGCUGACGCUGAGGCGCGAAAGCGUGGGGAGCAAACAGGAUUAGAUACCCUCGUAGUCCCUGAGCGGGCUGGCAAGGCGCAU